rnacentral:rRNA from 1 species
CGAAUAGGACUACGCGAUGCAUGUCGUGUGGUGGAAAGCUUUUGCGGUGUGGGAUGGGCCCGCGGCCUAUCAGCUUGUUGGUGAGGUUACGGCUCACCAAGGCGACGACGGGUAGCCGGCCUGAGAGGGUGACCGGCCACACUGGGACUGAGAUACGGCCCAGACUCCUACGGGAGGCAGCAGUGGGGAAUAUUGCACAAUGGGCGCAAGCCUGAUGCAGCGACGCCGCGUGAGGGAUGACGGCCUUCGGGUUGUAAACCUCUUUCGCCAGGGACGAAGCGCAAGUGACGGUACCUGGAGAAGAAGGACCGGCCAACUACGUGCCA